rnacentral:rRNA from 1 species
UACGUAGGGUGCAGGCGUUAAUCGGAAUUACUGGGCGUAAAGCGUGCGCAGGCGGUCUUUUAAGUCAGAUGUGAAAUCCCCGGGCUUAACCUGGGAACUGCGUUUGAAACUGAAAGGCUUGAGUGUGGCAGAGGGGGGCGGAAUUCCAGGUGUAGCAGUGAAAUGCGUAGAUAUGCGGAGGAACACCGAUGGCGAAGGCAAUCCCCUGGGCCUGCACUGACGCUCAUGCACGAAAGCGUGGGGAGCAAACAGG